CCAAGGCAGUGUGGAGCUCGAUAGAGGUGGCACUCCUCAAGUAAUUAAUGGUGGACGAAGGGCAGUCCAAUUGGCUUCUGCGGUGAAGCCGAUUACAGAAUUAGGUGAGAGAAGGUAGUAUCUCACCCCUUACUAAGUGACACACAUGUCAAGACAAAUAAGCAGAUUGAGCCCAAGGCAGUGUGGAGCUCGAUAGAGGUGGCACUCCUCAAGUAAUUAAUGGCGAGAAGGGCGGUACACCUGGCUUCUAAAGUGAGGCCGAUUACAGAAUAAGGUGAGAGAAGGUAGUAUCUCACCCCUUACAAGUGACACACAUGUCAAGACAAAUAAGCAGAUUGAGCCCAAGGCAGUGUGGAGCUCGAUAGAGGUGGCACUCCUCAAGUAAUUAAUGGUGGAGAAGGGCAGUCCAAUUGGCUUCUGCGGUGAAGCCGAUUACAGAAUAAGGUGAGAGAAGGUAGUAUCUCACCCCUUACAAGUGACACACAUGUCAAGACAAAUAAGCAGAUUGAGCCCAAGGCAAUGUGGAGCUCGAUAGAGGUGGCACUCCUCAAGUAAUUAAUGGUCGAGAAGGGCGGUACACCUGGCUUCUAAAGUGAGGCCGAUUACAGAAUAAGGUGAGAGAAGGUAGUAUCUCACCCCUUACAAGUGACACACAUGUCAAGA